rnacentral:rRNA from 1 species
CGGGGUGAGUAAUGUCUGGGAAACUGCCUGAUGGAGGGGGGUAACUACUGGAAACGGUAGCUAAUACCGCAUAACGUCGCAAGACCAAAGAGGGGGACCUUCGGGCCUCUUGCCAUCGGAUGUGCCCAGAUGGGAUUAGCUAGUAGGUGGGGUAACGGCUCACCUAGGCGACGAUCCAUAGCUGGUCUGAGAGGAUGACCAGCCACACUGGAACUGAGACACGGUCCAG